UACGGGGGGUGCGAGCGUUGUCCGGAAUCACUGGGCGUAAAGGGCGCGUAGGUGGCCUGUGGAAGUCUGCGGUGAAAGCCCGGCGCUCAACGCCGGGUCGGCCGUGGAUACUCUCGGGCUCGAGCUUACUAGAGGCAGAUGGAAUUCCGGGUGUAGCGGUGGAAUGCGUAGAGAUCCGGAAGAACACCGGUGGCGAAGGCGGCUCUCUGGGCCUGUCCUGACGCUCAUGCGCGAAAGCUAGGGGAGCAAACAGG
rnacentral:rRNA from 1 species